rnacentral:rRNA from 1 species
UACGUAGGGGCGAGCGUUGUCCGGAAUUAUUGGGCGUAAAGGGCGCGCAGGCGGUCUUCUAAGUCUGAUGUGAAAGCCCACGGCUUAACCGUGGAGGGUCAUUGGAAACUGGAGGACUUGAGUACAGAAGAGGAGAGUGGAAUUCCACGUGGAGCGGUGAAAUGCGUAGAGAUGUGGAGGAACACCAGUGGCGAAGGCGGCUCUCUGGACUGUAACUGACACUGAGGCACGAAAGCGUGGGGAGCAAACAGGAUUAGAUACCCCGGUAGUCCCU